ensembl:lncRNA
UGAUAUUGUUUGAAUUACCCCUUAACUUGGGGGAAUUAAAUAAGGCACUCUGGACAUAUGCAGCCCCUCAGGGACACGGCUUGGUGAGUGGAUCACCCUUUUGUUUGAAAAAGAUGCCCCUUAUGCAGUCCUCUAUGCAGUCCUCUAUGCAGUCACACCUCACCCUGGGACCCUUGAUUUGGCAAGCAGAGCCCAGGCUGGAUUUCACCUCCCACAGACCCCCUCAGUGGGCUGCCUUUCUACAGUAUCCAACCUGCCCAACAGUCUGCGGUGAACCUGCAUGAGAUCAGGAACCCCUCAAGAAUAGGGAUUAUCUUAAUCUUUCUGGAGGCCUAAGACUUAGCUCAGGGCUGACUCUCCAAGCACCCUCAGCCAAUGUUAGUUGUUUCAGCAAAGGCAGCUUGGUUUUCUUUGGGGUUUGAAGGGAAACAGGGAAUAAUCUCACCAUACUUUCAGCUCAAAAGUCUCCAUAGGUCUCUAAUGUCUUCAGGAGGAAGUCUUACCAUCUGGCUUAGAUUGGCCUGGGCUAACCUGAACUGGUCAACUAUCCCAUCAUUACCUUCUAACACUGCAUCCCCUUCAUUUGAAGUGAUCCACUCAUCGCCCUCAACCACACAUGGCACUUCCUGCCUUACAGGUGCUGCUUUCUUCUCCUGGAUACCUUUCCCUGUUCUCCUUUAAUGGCAAAAUCCUGAGUUGGCCUGAGGCUUCUGUAAUGGCUCCAGACACCUUCUAGCCUUCCAGUCGUCUGAAUGGCUAUGGUAUUACUGCAUGCCCUGCUUAGUCCUGUGCAGCUUUAGGAUUCUACCCACCUAUUCCAUAUAUGUAUAUGUCUUCUGUCCUCAAACUGUUGGGAGACAAAGAUACAUAGCUCUCUUUUAUGUCUGUAAGAGGCCUGGCAUAAUACUGCCAGUGCACUGAGCAAGUUAGCAACAACCUCAUAGAAAAUGCUAACGCUUAAAAAAUUAAAAUAAUUCAAUGAUUAUCUAUAUUCGGACAAAGCAUUCUGGAAUCACAGCAAGAAAAUGUGGCAAACGUCCCUGAGCCCUUGAGCCUCUGCACCUCAUACAGGAUUAUACCCACACACCCCAGAAAGCUGAGUAAGAUCUAUGCAAACAACCUUCCAGGGAAGGGAUUGACAACCGCAGUCAGCCUUCUGCCUAGUUAAUCAUAAACCCAAACCAGCAGAAGCCAGGUCCAUCGCCAGAACAAGGGGACAAUUAGCACUGCCCUUUCCACACAGCUACUUGCUGGGAAAAUCGCGCGCUGAUCAGUGCACACGGCUUCAACUUUCUCCUGCACCCAGAAGAUUCUAGCGAAGGGCUGCUUUGUUGUAGAAAUAGAAAGCCUUAUCAGGAAACUGUCAAUUUCAUGACAAAUUUGGUAACGGGGAAGCAGAUAAUGGGCUGUUUACGUAGUCUUAGGCGGACAGGAUUCAUCUUGGGUCCUAGGGUUUCCCAAUUCCAGAUAUUUCAAACAUGGAAAACAGCAACACAAGUCAAAAUGAUUUAAUACUGUAUAUAUAGCAAUAAAGAAAACUGAAAAAGUAUUAUUUUCUAAAUCUUUAAGAGUUGCAAUCAGAUUUUAUUUUUAAACAGAAAUAGCAUAAAUGUUCCCCUUCUUUAUAGAAAGUUUUCAUUAGUUCCUCCCCAACCUUACUUUCCAGAGGACCUGGCAAUAAACAAAAGAAUGGUCCCUUGAGCAUUUUUCAUCACAGCAUCAUGCUUUUAAUGGAGCAGAGAUGAACCCCGGGCUGCUGUGGCCCACGGGUAGAAAACACAGUACUUCUGUGUUUGGGUUUGAUCACCCUCAUGGAGAAAGUGGCUCCUGAAGACAGAUGUAAUUAGUUUUAAUUUCUGAGGCCUUUGGGGCUGUUCCUGAAGCUUUCUAUUGAGAAGGCAAAGCAAGCAGAGGUGAGAUCUGGGAGGAUAAAGUAAAAGGCAGUGAGACCCAAAACAGUUUGGCUUAUGCAAAAGAAUUUCAAUGAACACCCACGAGCAUUGGUCCAGGUGCUUUCUUAGUCACUGUCCCCUCAAGGAUGGGGAAGAGGAAGCUGCCAACGUCACCUGGCUGCUGCAUCGACUUCCUCCUCUUGCCUCAUCAUCCAUCUCAGUUUUAGAUUUAAGCCAGGACUGAUUCUCUGUGGUCUAGGCUGACAUGCAAGUGAGAAUCUUGAUUAGAAAACCCCUAAAUCAUUAAAUAAAUGAAGCCUGUGGGUUGCUUAAUGCCCUUAAAUAGUGACUCAUUUAUAAAAUGUAUUUACCACCUUUCAAAGUGCACUUUGCUUCUAUGGAGACUUAUGGAACAUUCUGACCUAAGUCCUUGUCAGUAGCCUUUCAGAAGGGGAAUGAGGCCCCCACAAAGAAUCUGGGGCUUCCUAUCAUGCCCGCUUACCUUCAGGCUGGCUGGCUGAGGCACUUGGGUAAUGACUUUGGGGAGAUAAUAACAUGUUUAGCUUUAGUCUUAAGAGAAAAUUCCAUCUUGGCAGUGUCCACCAGGUGGGUACUCCGUCCCUAGGUUUUGGAGUAUGCUCAUUCCCC